GAUGAACGCUGGCGGCGUGCUUAACACAUGCAAGUCGAACGGAAAGGCCCCUGCUUGCAGGGGUACUCGAGUGGCGAACGGGUGAGUAACACGUGGGUGAUCUGCCCUGCACUUCGGGAUAAGCCUGGGAAACUGGGUCUAAUACCGGAUAGGACGAUGGUUUGGAUGCCAUUGUGGAAAGUUUUUCGGUGUGGGAUGAGCUCGCGGCCUAUCAGCUUGUUGGUGGGGUAAUGGCCUACCAAGGCGUCGACGGGUAGCCGGCCUGAGAGGGUGUACGGCCACAUUGGGACUGAGAUACGGCCCAGACUCCUACGGGAGGCAGCAGUGGGGAAUAUUGCACAAUGGGCGCAAGCCUGAUGCAGCGACGCCGCGUGGGGGAUGACGGCCUUCGGGUUGUAAACUCCUUUCGCUAGGGACGAAGCGUUUUGUGACGGUACCUGGAGAAGAAGCACCGGCUAACUACGUA
rnacentral:rRNA from 1 species